rnacentral:lncRNA from 1 species
AAAAUGUGUGGAGAGUUAUUUAAGGACCUGUGGUUAACUCAGUCCUCAAGAUGUUCCGGGUUUCAUCCAUGAGUCAAGGAGGACCUCCCAAAAGCUGUUUGGGACCACACUCUUUGAGCAAGGAGCAUACCUUAUGAUGGAAGCUGUGCUUUAGCAGCAGAUGACCAUUUCCACUGCACAACACGCCGUGCUUUAGCAGACGAUGACCAUUUCCACUGUACAACAUGCUGUGCUUUAGCGUCAGAUGACCAUUUCCACUGCACAACACGCCAUGCUUUAGCGGAAGAUGACCAUUUCCACUGCACAACACGUCAUGCCUUAGCGGAAGAUGACUGUUUCCACUGCACAACACUACAAGUGCUUACUGCCAGACCGGUGUGAAAUAUGUUCCAGCACAUAAUCUAUGUCACCAAUGAAGGUGGUGGUUAAGACUUGGUGCACACAAGCUUUCCUGUCCCACAAGAAUACAGCGUGCUCUCUUUUCGGGUUCCAUUCCAAUCACGUAACAAACAUGACUGCCUUUUUUGUUUCGGCAUCAGAAAGAUCAGAGGAAACUUUGCACUCAACUUAGACAACUCUAAGCUUUUAUAACCUGUCUAUAUCUACAGGUCAGCUUUAUCUUAUUUAUGUAUAUUUCCUUCAACCUGAGUUUUACUUAUUUCCACUUUUCCUUUUUAAUUCACAGACACCCAUAAACUCAGAAAAUACAGUGUAAAACAAAGUGAAGAACAAAUAAACAACUCACCAGAGAUUUAUUCGUUUCUUGUUGCUCUUGGAAACACCCAGAGGACACUGGAAACAUAGCCACUCCUGUGCCUCUGGAACCCGCUUCACUGCUGGGACCCCACGUCUGUCCUCCCAGCCCCCGCCAGGGUCCACGGCCCGCAAAUGCACGUCAGGCCCCUCCUGCCCGCGAUGCGCCCACGCGUCUGCCCCCACAAAUGGGGAACACUGGUCUGGCCCCCCGGGAUCCCCCGAGGCCCACAGGUUCCUCCUCGCCCUCGCACCUACCCACAGGGACAUAGAACCAAGCCCCAGGCCUGCUCAGCUACACGACCACCGCUGGGAUCCGCACUUCCGGAGGAAAAUGGCGAAGUGGGCGGGGUGGCACAUGCGUAGAGAGAACCUGGUUCCCAAGGUCCUUGAUGGUAAACAU